rnacentral:tRNA from 1 species
UUAAUUAAAGCCAAAAAAGAGGCAUUUCAUUGUUAAUGAAAUUAAUGAUUAAUUUUUCUAAUUAAA